rnacentral:rRNA from 1 species
AAGCUCGUAGUUGAAUUUCGGGACCGGUGGGUUGGUCGUGCCUCCGGUACGUACUGGUCUUACUGGUUCCUCCCUUCUGAAGAACCACGAUGUCAUUAAUUUGGUGUCGUGGGGAAUCAGGACUGUUACUUUGAAAAAAUUAGAGUGUUUAAAGCAGGCUAAAGCUUGAAUAGAUUAGCAUGGAAUAACGAAAUAGGACGUUUGAUCUUAUUUUGUUGGUUUCUAAGAUCGACGUAAUGAUUAAUAGGGAUAGUUGGGGGCAUUAGUAUUCAAUUGUCAGAGGUGAAAUUCUUGGAUUUAUUGAAGACUAACUACUGCGAAAGCAUUUGCCAAGGAUGUUUUCAUUAAUCAAGAACGAAAGUUAGGGGAUCGAAGACGAUCAGAUACCGUCGUAGUCUUAACCAUAAACUAUGCCGACUAGGGAUCGGAUGAUGUUAAUUUUUUAAUGACUCAUUCGGCACCUUACGGGAAACCAAAGUGUUUGGGUUCCGGGGGGAGUAUGGUCGCAAGGCUGAAACUUAAAGGAAUUGACGGAAGGGCACCACCAGGGGUGGAGCCUGCGGCUUAAUUUGACUCAACACGGGGAAACUCACCAGGUCCAGACAUAGUAAGGAUUGACAGAUUGAGAGCUCUUUCUUGAUUCUAUGGGUG